rnacentral:rRNA from 1 species
UCCGUAGGUGAACCUGCGGAAGGAUCAUUAAUGAAUUUUAGGACGUUCUUUUUAGAAGUCCGACCCUUUCAUUUUCUUACACCGUGCACACACUUCUUUUUUACACACACUUUUAACACCUUAGUAUAAGAAUGUAAUAGUCUCUUAAUUGAGCAUAAAUAAAAACAAAACUUUCAGCAACGGAUCUCUUGGCUCUCGCAUCGAUGAAGAACGCAGCGAAUUGCGAUAAGUAAUGUGAAUUGCAGAAUUCAGUGAAUCAUCGAAUCUUUGAACGCACCUUGCACUCUUUGGUAUUCCGAAGAGUAUGUCUGUUUGAGUGUCAUGAAACUCUCAACCCCCCUAUUUUGUAAUGAGAUGGGCGUGGGCUUGGAUUAUGGUUGUCUGUUGGCGUAAUUGCCGGCUCAACUGAAAUACACGAGCAACCCUACUGAAAUAAACGGUUUGACUUGGCGUAAUAAUUAUUUCGCUAAGGACGUUUUCUUCAAUUAUAAGAGGUGCUUCUAAUUCGCUUCUAAUAGCAUUUAAGCUUUAGACCUCAAAUCAGUCAGGGCUACCCGCUGAACUUAAGCAUAUCAAUAAGCGGAGGAAAAG